rnacentral:rRNA from 1 species
GGAAUCUUCCGCAAUGGACGCAAGUCUGACGCAGCGACGCCGCGUGCGGGAGGACGCCUUUCGGGGUGUAAACCGCUGUCAGGGGGGACGAAGGCUUGGGGGAGGCAAUGCCCCUGAGAUUGACGGUACCCCCAGAGGAAGCACCGGCUAACUCCGUGCCAGCAGCCGCGGUAAUAUGGAGGGUGCAAGCGUUGUCCGGAAUUAUUGGGCGUAAAGCGCACGUAGGCGGUUCUUUAAGUCUCAUGGUGAAAGGCUGGGGCUCAACCCCAAGCAAGCCGGGGAUACUGGAGGACUGGAGACAGGCAGAGGCCAGCGGAAUUCCGGGUGUAGCGGUGGAAUGCGUAGAGAUCCGGAAGAACACCGGAGGCGAAGGCGGCUGGCUGGGCCUGAUCUGACGCUGAGGUGCGAAAGCGUGGGGAGCGAA